rnacentral:tRNA from 2 species
GGUCGCGUAACUCAGUGGUAGAGUGCUUCCUCGACAAGGAAGUGGUCAACAGUUCGAAUCUGUUCGUGACCACCA